GGAGAAGUGCAUGUCCAUAUUAGCUCCUCCUGACACCGAUUCCACCUUGUAGCCCUGAGUCUUCCUGUUCUGAUCUUUCUGGAUCAACUUGUUGUGCAGCGGAGGUCUGGUGUCCAUCGACCCCCGACCGUGCCCACCCUUCACGGUCGCCAGAUCAGGCAACACUGUCAUGGUCGCGGUCCCGUUGGCACAGUCUUCUUCUACAAGAUUUCCAGCGUUCUCUGAAGAUGUAAAGUUCAGAUGCAGAUUUUCACCAGAAAAGAAAUAUGCUGGACCAGGGAGGAUUUAUUCUGUGUUGACUGUUCCCAAACCUGCAGAGGUUACCACACCACUGGCCACAUCCCCUGCUGGCAUCAAAGACUCUACACAAGAACACUAACUUCCUCUGGUUGUCGGUGAGCGUGAUCCCCUGUGCCGACACCUUGAAGUGGACGACGGUGGAAGCAGGCGGGGGGUCCAUGGAGAGCGUCAUCGUGGUCGCCUUCUGGACCGCCUGGUGUCCCGUCAGAGAUUCCAGCUCCACAGAGCCCAG